rfam:Gossypium arboreum cultivar AKA8401 contig_22445_1, whole genome shotgun sequence.
UGUUAAAAAUUUCAUGUAUUUAUACGGUUAAAAACUAGCGUGGUUGAUAGAAUAACCAAAUAAUGAUGCGUACCAUACUAUAUAUAUACCUCAUGUCAACGCAUAUAUGGAUCAAUUUUUAACUGUUGAAAUAGAUAAAAUUUUUAACA